rnacentral:tRNA from 1 species
ACUUAAAUAGCUUAUAGAUAGAGCAUAAUUUUGAAGGAAUUAAGGAAAUGAAGAUUUUUAAGUA